GACGAACGCUGGCGGCGUGCUUAACACAUGCCAGUCGAACGGAAAGGCCUCUUUCGGGGGGUACUCGAGUGGCGAACGGGUGAGUAACACGUGAGUAACCUGCCCUUGACUUUGGGAUAACUUCAGGAAACUGGGGCUAAUACCGGAUAGGAGCUCCUGCUGCAUGGUGGGGGUUGGAAAGUUUCGGCGGUUGGGGAUGGACUCGCGGCUUAUCAGCUUGUUGGUGGGGUAGUGGCUUACCAAGGCUUUGACGGGUAGCCGGCCUGAGAGGGUGACCGGCCACAUUGGGACUGAGAUACGGCCCAGACGCCUACGGGAGGCAGCAGUGGGGAAUAUUGCACAAUGGGUGGAAGCCUGAUGCAGCAACGCCGGGGGCGGGAUGACGGCCUUCGGGUUGUAAACCGCUUUCGCUCAUGACGAAGCUUUGUGUGACGGUAGUGGGUAAAGAAGCACCGGCUAACUACGUG
rnacentral:rRNA from 1 species